rnacentral:rRNA from 1 species
AUUGAACGCUGGAGGCAGGCCUAACACAUGCAAGUCGAACGAGUGGCGGACGGGUGAGUAAUGUCUGGGAAACUGCCCGAUGGAGGGGGAGAACUACUGGAAACGGUAGCUAAUACCGCAUACCAUCGGAUGUGCGCAGAUGGGAUUAGCUCGUAGGUGGGGGAACGGCUCACCUAGGCGACGAUCCCUAGACGGUCUGAGAGGAGGACCAGCCACACUAGAACUGGGACACGGUCCAGACUCCUACGGGAGGCAGCAGUGGGGCAUAUUGCACAAUGGUCGCAAGCCUGAUGCAGCCAUGCCGCGUGUAUGAAGAAGGCCUUCGGGUUGUCAAGUGCUUUCAGCGAGGAGGCGUUACUCGCAGAAGGAGCACCGUCUAACUCCGUGCCAGCGGCCGCGGUAAUUC